rnacentral:rRNA from 1 species
UACGAAGGGGGCUAGCGUUGCUCGGAAUUACUGGGCGUAAAGCGCACGUAGGCGGAUUGUUAAGUCGGGGGUGAAAUCCUGGAGCUCAACUCCAGAACUGCCUUCGAUACUGGCGAUCUCGAGUUCGGGAGAGGUGAGUGGAACUGCGAGUGUAGAGGUGAAAUUCGUAGAUAUUCGCAAGAACACCAGUGGCGAAGGCGGCUCACUGGCCCGAUACCGACGCUGAGGUGCGAAAGCGUGGGGAGCAAGCAGG